rnacentral:lncRNA from 1 species
CGGGAGCCCUAAGGGUAUGCUUAGAAUGGGAAGAAAAGGAAAGAACUCCACGCUAGACAAACUCACCAGCCCAGGGGGAUUCCUGGUUUGAACUGCUUGCUGUAUGACAAUCACCAGUCCUCUGGCAAAACUGCAGCAUGCAAUGCUGUUGGUGAAACACGAUUUGCAAGCUACCCAGGAGCUGCAGAACUUGCAACGCAAUCACAGCACACCCGAGUAUGAGGAACAUGGCUGGACUAUGAGGAUAGCUUCAAAGAACAGUCAGUGCCAUGUGGAGAGAAGGUGCUGAGGAGCUGUGUAGAACAACAAAUUCAAAUGGAAAAUGAUUGCAAGGAGGCUUAAAGCCCACAGAGACCUAGCUGCUUCCAAAAGUCCAAUGUAACCAUUCUAGGUGUGGUGCAUUAGCUGCUCACCUAAAAUACCC